AUUGCUUCUCAGUCUUUUGGCUAAGAUCAAGUAUAGUUAUCUGUUCUUACUAGUUUAAUAUCUGAUAUGUCCUCUGAGGACAAUAUAUUAAAUGGAUUUGGGGGAGUUCCCACUGUGGCACAGCAGGUUAAACAUCUGGUGCUGUCUCUUGGUGGCUUGGGUCACUGCUGAGACUCGAGUUUGACCCCCAGCCU
rnacentral:snRNA from 1 species